rnacentral:rRNA from 1 species
GUGGGGAAUAUUGGACAAUGGGCGAAAGCCUGAUCCAGCCAUGCCGCGUGUGUGAAGAAGGUCUUCGGAUUGUAAAGCACUUUAAGUUGGGAGGAAGGGCAGUAAGUUAAUACCUUGCUGUUUUGACGUUACCGACAGAAUAAGCACCGGCUAACUACGUGCCAGCAGCCGCGGUAAUACGUAGGGUGCAAGCGUUAAUCGGAAUUACUGGGCGUAAAGCGCGCGUAGGUGGUUUUGUAAGUUGGAGGUGAAAUCCCCGGGCUCAACCUGGGAACUGCCUCCAAAACUGCAUGACUAGAGUACGGUAGAGGGUAGUGGAAUUUCCUGUGUAGCGGUGAAAUGCGUAGAUAUAGGAAGGAACACCAGUGGCGAAGGCGACUACCUGGACUGAUACUGACACUGAGGUGCGAAAGCGUGGGGAGCAAACAGGAUUAGAUACCCGAGUAGUCC